rfam:Pleurotus ostreatus PC15 unplaced genomic scaffold scaffold_01, whole genome shotgun sequence.
GGCUUAGUAGUGUAGUGGUUAUCACCCCAGAUUCUGACACAGAAUCUAUAGCUAAGAGAAUUCUGGUAACCCAGGUUCGAAUCCUGGCUAGGCCU